rnacentral:rRNA from 1 species
UACGAACCAUGCAAACGUUAUUCGGAUUCACUGGGCUUAAAGCGUGCGUAGGCGGUCUUGUUAGUCAGGUGUGAAAGCCCUCAGCCUAACUGAGGAAUUGCGCUUGAUACUGCAUGACUAGAGAAUGAUAGAGGUGGGUGGAACUGAUGGUGGAGCGGUGAAAUGCGUUGAUAUCAUCAGGAACACCAGUGGCGAAGGCGACCCACUGGGUCAUUUCUGACGCUGAGGUACGAAAGCUAGGGUAGCGAACGGG